UCUUCAUCUUCAUCAUCUUCAUCUUCAUCAUCUUCAUCUUCAUCAUCUUCAUCUUCAUCAUCUUCAUCUUCUUCAUCCCUUUUCUGCAACUCCAUUACCCUCCGUUCAUCGAAGUCCAAGUAGAAUAAGAAUCUCUUUCUCCAUCCUUCUUCAAUGGCGGAAUCAGACGUUCAUGCCAAACCCUCGAAUCUCGCGGCAGGGCAAACUCAGCCUACUCCAAGUAAGUUCCAUAGUCAUAUCUUGUACAAAGUUUUAACGGCCAUUUUCUUUCUGGUGAUUCUCCCUCUAGUCCCCUCCCAAGCCCCUGAGUUCAUUAAUCAAACGUUACUCACCAGAAGCUGGGAGCUUCUGCACCUUCUUUUCGUUGGAAUCGCUGUUUCUUACGGUCUCUUUAGUCGGAGAACUGACGAGAUAGAGGAUGAAAUUAGUGUCUCUAGAUUUGAUAAUGUUCAAUCUUAUGUUUCUCGAUUGCUUCAUGUUUCGUCUGUUUUUGAUGAUGAGCCUGGAACUCCGUCUGCUAAUGAUGAAUCGGUGUCUUCACCUGAUGAAAGUAAGGUUCAAACAUGGAGUAAUCGGUAUUUUAGGAAUGAAUCUGUCGUUGUUGCUGAAGAACGUCCUGUUGUUAAUGAGCAGAGAGUUAGGAGUGAGAAACCUCUGCUUCUUCCUGUUCGUAGCUUGAAAUCUCGUGUUGUUGUGGACGAAGAGUAUAAAACCAUUUCUGGAUCUAAGCGGAGAGUGAGUUCGAGAAGAUCUUUGAGUAUGCCUAUGAGGAGUUCGAAUGAGGAGUUGAAUGAGAAAAUCGUUCUUCCUUCCCCAGUUCCAUGGCGCUCGAGAUCGGAGUGGAAGGAGGUGCAAGAAGAAGCUGAUAACCUUCCUUUGUAUUCUCCUGCUGCUCCCAUGGAGGAAUCUGAAUCGAGUUGGAUCGAUUCUCGAUCGUCAAGACCUCCAACUUCAAGGUCUUCUCGAGCCAGUGCCAUUAGCACUCAGAAACUAUCUCCCUCUCCAUCUCCUAGGAAACCAUCUCCUUCUCCUACUGUGUCACCUGAAUUACAGGCCAAGAGUGCUGAGGAUUUGGUGAGGAAGAAGAACUUUUAUUCAUCUCCUCCACCUCCGCCUCCUCCUCCGCCCCCACCAACUGUUCGAAGAAUAUCCUCAAUGAAACCAAACUCUUGGCUGCAUGAAAGUGAUGUAUCUCAUCAAAAGGAUUUGAGACGAAGCCUUAUUAGCAAACCUAGAAGAUCCAUUCGUGAUACAGGAGAUGAAAUCGAUCUGAUGAUGGAUGCUAAUUCAAGUGCUGAAGUUCUGCCUAGAAAUUAUGUAGAUGGUCAAUCAAUGGGGAAAUCUGUUAGAACAAUCAGACCAGGAGAAGUUGUGAAUGAGCCACCAAGAAGAGGGAGAGAAUUUGGAGGAACUGAUCAAUUGAAGGGGAAGAUGGAACAGAAUGCCCAUGCCCAAGAAUUUGAAGAAAACCCCAUAGAGUAUCCCGAUGAAGAUAAAGCAGACCUAGUUGAAAAACUAGCCAUGGAAGCAGGCGACGACAUGGAAAACGAAGAAGAAGAAGACGAUGUAGUGGGGCAGUUUAUCCGGGAAGAUAACGGAGAACCUUUCAAUGUGAAAAGGAGAGAUUUCAAUGAAUCAAGUUCUGAAGAAGCAGGCUCUAGCAAUAUGGCUAAUGACGGAGGACCAGAUGUAGAUAAAAAGGCUGAUGAGUUCAUAGCCAAAUUCAGAGAGCAAAUCAGGCUUCAAAGAAUCGAAUUGAUCAAGAAAUCAAGUGGACAAAUUGGUAGGAACACUUCAAGGCAAGCUUGAAGUUUGAAACAUGUUCAGUAAGUUCAUCAAAAUUUGAACUUCAAAUCCUUCAACUGACGUUUAUAGGUUCAAAUGCUGGAAAGUGUUUCUUCUUCUCCAAAAUCACCCCCUCUGGAUAUAUGACAGAUGCUGUAAUUGUAAUUCAGCAGGCAUCUGCCAUUAGUGUUUGUUGAUCUGCAACUGAAAUACACCAGGCUAAUAAUCAGUUUAGUUGUAUGUCAUGUGUUUUGAGAGCUUAUCAUCUAUCAAAUUAGAUGGAUUAAGUUGUUUCACUUGAU